AGAUUCCCAAGACAUGACCAGUAGAGCUAUGGUGUGCACAACAUAUUAUUAAGAACCUGUUUGGUCGCUUACGUGCUUUUUCAUCAGUACUCAGCAAGCCCCCCAUCAAGCGCAAAAUCUUGUCUGGAACCACCCACAGUUGAAGGAUGCAGUCUUAUUCUCAUGAAGUGGAGCUUCAAUACAGAGUCACGACAAUGUCAACGAAACUACGUCUGCACAAACCACACGAAUGCUUUUUUAGAUCAAGCGUCCUGCAUGGCAACGUGUGCUUCAGUUCCAGGUCCACAACCUCCAGAGGUUACCAAGGACUGCACCUACUGGAUUCGUCGAUUCUAUGAGUGCAAACGAAAGUGGGUGACACUAUACCGGGACGCUUGGAGAAUAGCGAGGAGAGUCUUUAUAUACACCGGAUGCGGGACUUCGCCAAAUAAGUACUUCGCUUACUAUGUGCACGAAGGACGGUGUGAAGAACUUCUUUUUCGUGGUGAACUGAAGAAAUGAAUAAGCUGCAAGGUCAGCCCAAGUACACCAGCUCUCCUUGAAUUUUCAAUAUUUAAAUGACUGGCCGUUGCUGCGCACUUGUAAAAGUAGUCGAAGUUAUUUCUUCUCAAUUCAACAAAAAUAAACCAUAGGGUCACUGUCAGAAUAAAGCAAUUGAAGCUAUCAUACGGAAUA